rnacentral:rRNA from 1 species
GCUGUUAAGGGUUCGUAGUUGAACUGAGGGUGUUCAAGUAGACAAUCCAGUCCCACCUCGCUCUCGGGUCGGCGACUCUUGCUCUUGACACUCGUGAACGAACAGAAACAAAGACCACGGGUUAUUUCGCGCCUCCCAACACUUUCACGCAUGCAACGUAUGCCGUGUGGGGGGCUGCCCGUGUUUUUACUGUGACUAAAAAAGCGUGACCAAAGCAGUCAUUCGACAUGAAUUUCAAGCAUGGGAUAACAACGAAGCAUCCUACGGGCUGUCCAUAUCGGAUUUUGUUGGUUUUAACGUCUUGUGGGAGACUAUGGGCCCGCGCGACAGGCGAUUUCGGGGGCGAGUGAACUCUCGUUCCCGCGCUUCCGUUGCGGUGUCGCUUCGCGCACUUGUGCGCGGUCAAAGGGUGACCUUCCUUCGGUUCGCGGUGCCCAGGAAUGAAGGAGGGUUGCUCGGGGGAGAACGUACUUGGCGUUAGAGGUGAAAUUCUUAGACCGCUCAAAGACGAACUACAGCGAAGGCAUUCUCCAGGAUACCUUCCUCAAUCAAGAACUAAAGUG